rnacentral:rRNA from 1 species
CCUGGCUCACGAUGAACGCUAGCUACAGGCUUAACACAUGCAAGUCGAGGGGCAGCAUGGUCUUAGCUUGCUAAGGCCGAUGGCGACCGGCGCACGGGUGAGUAACACGUAUCCAACCUGCCGUCUACUCUUGGACAGCCUUCUGAAAGGAAGAUUAAUACAAGAUGGCAUCAUGAGUCCGCAUGUUCACAUGAUUAAAGGUAUUCCGGUAGACGAUGGGGAUGCGUUCCAUUAGAUAGUAGGCGGGGUAACGGCCCACCUAGUCUUCGAUGGAUAGGGGUUCUGAGAGGAAGGUCCCCCACAUUGGAACUGAGACACGGUCCAAACUCCUACGGGAGGCAGCAGUGAGGAAUAUUGGUCAAUGGGCGAGAGCCUGAACCAGCCAAGUAGCGUGAAGGAUGACUGCCCUAUGGGUUGUAAACUUCUUUUAUAAAGGAAUAAAGUCGGGUAUGGAUACCCGUUUGCAUGUACUUUAUGAAUAAGGAUCGGCUAACUCCGUGCCAGCAGCCGCGGUAAUACGGAGGAUCCGAGCGUUAUCCGGAUUUAUUGGGUUUAAAGGGAGCGUAGAUGGAUGUUUAAGUCAGUUGUGAAAGUUUGCGGCUCAACCGUAAAAUUGCAGUUGAUACUGGAUAUCUUGAGUGCAGUUGAGGCAGGCGGAAUUCGUGGUGUAGCGGUGAAAUGCUUAGAUAUCACGAAGAACUCCGAUUGCGAAGGCAGCCUGCUAAGCUGCAACUGACAUUGAGGCUCGAAAGUGUGGGUAUCAAACAGGAUUAGAUACCCUGGUAGUCCACACGGUAAACGAUGAAUACUCGCUGUUUGCGAUAUACUGCAAGCGGCCAAGCGAAAGCGUUAAGUAUUCCACCUGGGGAGUACGCCGGCAACGGUGAAACUCAAAGGAAUUGACGGGGGCCCGCACAAGCGGAGGAACAUGUGGUUUAAUUCGAUGAUACGCGAGGAACCUUACCCGGGCUUAAAUUGCAGAUGAAUUACGGUGAAAGCCGUAAGCCGCAAGGCAUCUGUGAAGGUGCUGCAUGGUUGUCGUCAGCUCGUGCCGUGAGGUGUCGGCUUAAGUGCCAUAACGAGCGCAACCCUUGUUGUCAGUUACUAACAGGUUCCGCUGAGGACUCUGACAAGACUGCCAUCGUAAGAUGUGAGGAAGGUGGGGAUGACGUCAAAUCAGCACGGCCCUUACGUCCGGGGCUACACACGUGUUACAAUGGGGGGUACAGAGGGCCGCUACCACGCGAGUGGAUGCCAAUCCCCAAAACCUCUCUCAGUUCGGACUGGAGUCUGCAACCCGACUCCACGAAGCUGGAUUCGCUAGUAAUCGCGCAUCAGCCACGGCGCGGUGAAUACGUUCCCGGGCCUUGUACACAC